rnacentral:rRNA from 1 species
CAUGUAGGCGGAUUAAUAAGUUUGAAGUGAAAUCCUAUAGCUUAACUAUAGAACUGCUUUGAAAACUGUUAAUCUAGAAUGUGGGAGAGGUAGAUGGAAUUUCUGGUGUAGGGGUAAAAUCCGUAGAGAUCAGAAGGAAUACCGGUUGCGAAGGCGAUCUACUGGAACAUUAUUGACGCUGAGAUGCGAAAGCGUGGGGAGCAAACA